GGGGAAAGCCUUGUUGGCAGUCAGUUGAGAAACACCGCCGCGGGUACGGGAGUCGCAGGAAGUGAACGUCUACCUAGCCAUCAGCCCCGUCACCCCGUAGGCCUUCUGGGUGUAAUCUGCUGGCCGCGUCGCGUCGUGUCAAAUGGUGACGGUGGUGAUGGUGCUGAUGGUGAUGGUGAAGGCUAUGGUGAUGAUAACUGGACAGGCAAGGCUGGUGACGCGCUGCUGUUGCUACGACCUCGCUGCGGCACGCGACACAGAAACUUAAAUAUGUUGGCAAGCAGGGGCCAAAGCGUCCCCGUUACGAACUGAGAGCCAAUACGGUCUGUUCUCAUCUGUAAUCAAGGAAUCUCUGUA